UACGGAGGGUGCAAGCGUUAAUCGGAAUUACUGGGCGUCAAGCGCACGCAGGCGGUCUGUCAAGUCGGAUGUGACAUCCCCGGGCUCAACCUGGGCACUGCAUCCGAAACUGGCCGGCUAGAGUCUUGUAGAGGGGGGUAGAAUUACAGAUUUAGCGGUGAAAUGCGUAGAGAUCUCGAGGAAUACCGGUGGCGAAGGCGGCCCCCUGGACAAAGACUGACGCUCCGGUGCGAAAGCGUGGGGAGCAAACAGG
rnacentral:misc_RNA from 1 species